rnacentral:rRNA from 1 species
CCUAAGGGUGGCUGCAGUGGGGAAUAUUGGACAAUGGGCGAAAGCCUGAUCCAGCCAUGCCGCGUGUGUGAAGAAGGCCUUCGGGUUGUAAAGCACUUUCAGUGGGGAAGAAAGCCUUGGGGCUAAUACCCUCGAGGAAGGACAUCACCCACAGAAGAAGCACCGGCUAACUCCGUGCCAGCAGCCGCGGUAAUACGGAGGGUGCGAGCGUUAAUCGGAAUUACUGGGCGUAAAGCGCGCGUAGGCGGUCUGAUAAGCCGGUUGUGAAAGCCCCGGGCUCAACCUGGGAACGGCAUCCGGAACUGUCAGGCUAGAGUGCAGGAGAGGAAGGUAGAAUUCCCGGUGUAGCGGUGAAAUGCGUAGAGAUCGGGAGGAAUACCAGUGGCGAAGGCGGCCUUCUGGACUGACACUGACGCUGAGGUGCGAAAGCGUGGGUAGCAAACAGGAUUAGAUACCCUGGUAGUC